GAUGAACGCUGGCGGCGUGCCUAAUACAUGCAAGUCGAGCGAACAGACGAGGAGCUUGCUCCUCUGACGUUAGCGGCGGACGGGUGAGUAACACGUGGAUAACCUACCUAUAAGACUGGGAUAACUUCGGGAAACCGGAGCUAAUACCGGAUAAUAUAUUGAACCGCAUGGUUCAAUAGUGAAAGACGGUUUUGCUGUCACUUAUAGAUGGAUCCGCGCCGCAUUAGCUAGUUGGUAAGGUAACGGCUUACCAAGGCAACGAUGCGUAGCCGACCUGAGAGGGUGAUAGGCCACACUGGAACUGAGACACGGUCCAGACUCCUACGGGAGGCAGCAGUAGGGAAUCUUCCGCAGUGGGCGAAAGCCUGACGGAGCAACGCCGCGUGAGUGAUGAAGGUCUUCGGAGCGUAAAACUCUGUUAUUAGGGAAGAACAAAUGUGUAAGUAACUAUGCACGUCUUGACGGUACCUAAUCAGAAAGCCACGGCUAACUACGUG
rnacentral:rRNA from 1 species